GUUAGCUCAGCCGGUGGAGCAUGAGACACCAUAAUUUCAGGGUCGUGGGUUUGAGCCCCACGUUGAGCA